rnacentral:rRNA from 1 species
AGCAGCCGCGGUAAUUCCAGCUCCAAUAGCGUAUAUUAAAGUUGUUGCAGUUAAAAAGCUCGUAGUUGAAUUUCGGGGUCAGUAGGCUGGUCGUGCCUCAGGUACGUACUGGUCUUACUGAUUCCUCCUUCCUGACGAACCGUAAUGCCAUUAAUUUGGUGUUGCGGGGAAUCUGGACUGUUACUUUGAAAAAAUUAGAGUGUUUAAAGCAGGCUAACGCUUGAAUACAUUAGCAUGGAAUAAUGAAAUAGGACGAUCGAUCCUAUUUUGUUGGUUUCUAGGAUUGACGUAAUGAUUAAUAGGGAUAGUUGGGGGCAUUAGUAUUCAAUUGUCAGAGGUGAAAUUCUUGGAUUUAUUGAAGACUAACUACUGCGAAAGCAUUUGCCAAGGAUGUUUUCAUUAAUCAAGAACGAAAGUUAGGGGAUCGAAGACGAUCAGAUACCGUCGUAG